rnacentral:rRNA from 1 species
GACGAACGCUGGCGGCGUGCCUAAUACAUGCAAGUCAAACGAACCGCGACCGAGUGCUUGCACUUGGUCAAGGUGAGUGGCGAACGGGUGAGUAACACGUGGGUAACCUACCUCAUAGUGGGGGAUAACAGUCGGAAACGACUGCUAAUACCGCAUAGGACAUGGAAUCGCAUGAUUCUGUGAGGAAAGGUGGCGCAAGCUAUCGCUAAGAGAUGGACCCGCGGUGCAUUAGCUAGUUGGUAGGGUAACGGCCUACCAAGGCGAUGAUGCAUAGCCGACCUGAGAGGGUGAUCGGCCACAUUGGGACUGAGACACGGCCCAAACUCCUACGGGAGGCAGCAGUAGGGAAUCUUCCGCAAUGGACGCAAGUCUGACGGAGCAAACGCCCGCGUGAGUGAAAGAAAGGUCUUUCGGAUCGUAAAAGCUUCUGUUGGU